CAGCCGUAAACUAUGCGCGUUAGGUGUAUCGGUGACCACGAGUUACCGAGGUGCCGAAGGGAAACCGUGAAACGUGCCGCCUGGGAAGUACGGUCGCAAGGCUGAAACUUAAAGGAAUUGGCGGGAGGCACCACAACAGGUGGAGCCUGCGGUUUAAUUUGGACUCAACGCCGGGAAGCUCACCGGAUAGGACAGCAGAAUGAUUGCCGGGCUGAAGACCCUGCAUGACUAGCUGAGAGGAGGUGCAUGGCGUCAGUG
rnacentral:rRNA from 1 species